UGGGGAAUUUUGCACAAUGGGGGAAACCCUGAUGCAGCGACGCCGCGUGAUUUAGAAGGCCUUCGGGUUGUAAAAAUCUUUUCUAUGGGAAGAAAAUGACAGUACCAUAGGAAUAAGGACCGGCUAAUUACGUGCCAGCAGCCGCGGUAAUACGUAAGGUCCGAGCGUUGUCCGGAAUCAUUGGGCGUAAAGGGUACGUAGGCGGGUAAGCAAGUUAGUAGUGAAAUCCUAUAGCUCAACUAUAGUAAGCUUUUAAAACUGCUCAUCUUGAGGUAUGGAAGGGAAAGUGGAAUUCCUAGUGUAGCGGUGAAAUGCGCAGAUAUUAGGAGGAAUACCGGUGGCGAAGGCGAGUUUCUGGCCAUAACCUGACGCUGAGGUACGAAAGCGUGGGUAGCAAACAGG
rnacentral:rRNA from 1 species